rnacentral:rRNA from 1 species
UUUAAAAAAAAUUAGAGUAGUAAUAGUUAUGAUCUUGAAACUCAAAAAAUUUGGCGGUAUUUUAGUCUAUUCAGAGGAACCUGUAAUUUAAUCGAUAAUCCACGAUGAACCUUACUUAAUUUUGUUUAAUUUGUAUAUCGCCGUUAUUUGAAAAUUUUAUAAGAAUAAUAAUUUUCUGAAAUUUUUAUUAAAUUAUAAAUCAGGUCAAGGUGCAGUUUAUAAUUAAGUUUUAUAUGGGUUACAAUAAAUUUAUUUAUACGGAUUUAAAAAUGAAAUAUUUUUAAAAGAAGGAGGAUUUGAUAGUAAAUUAUUAAAGAUAAAAUUUUUGAUUUUAGCUC